AGUGAACGCUGGCGGUAGGCCUAACACAUGCAAGUCGAACGGCAGCACAGUAAGAGCUUGCUCUUACGGGUGGCGAGUGGCGGAUGGGUGAGGAAUACAUCGGAAUCUACUUUUUCGUGGGGGAUAACGUAGGGAAACUUACGCUAAUACCGCAUACGACCUACGGGUGAAAGCAGGGGAUCUUCGGACCUUGCGCGAUUGAAUGAGCCGAUGUCGGAUUAGCUAGUUGGCGGGGUAAAGGCCCACCAAGGCGACGAUCCGUAGCUGGUCUGAGAGGAUGAUCAGCCACACUGGAACUGAGACACGGUCCAGACUCCUACGGGAGGCAGCAGUGGGGAAUAUUGGACAAUGGGCGCAAGCCUGAUCCAGCUAUACCGCGUGGGUGAAGAAGGCCUUCGGGUUGUAAAGCCCUUUUGUUGGGAAAGAAAAGCAGCAGGUUAAUACCCCGCUGUUCUGACGGUACCCAAAGAAUAAGCACCGGCUAACUUCGUG
rnacentral:rRNA from 1 species